rnacentral:SRP_RNA from 2 species
GCCGAGCUGGGUAACGUCAGCUUGUGACCCGAGUGGGGGUAUCAUGGUGAUGGAACAAGGUUUAGGCUUCACCAAGUUGGUAUGGAAGCUGCAUGAUGCUGCUUGCCCACUCCAAGUUAGGAGUUGAGCUAUGGAAUCCUUGCGAAGGCUAGGGUUUCUUGGUUCCUGGACUGGAGGGCACAGCGUGAGGCUGGUUUCACAGAGCAGCGACAACCUCCGGCUCUUGACAGUGGAGGGAUCACAGGCAGCUGCACCUCCACACCACAUAGCUUGGUGAGCCAUCUCUUGAACCAUCACUUUU